rnacentral:lncRNA from 1 species
ACGGACAGCACCGGCCCCCGCCGAGCCCAGGGCAGAGCCGGCGGGCAGGGCGGGCGGGCAGGGCUGGGCAGGAGGCGGCCACGGGACGUGGGGGUCAGCGGCCCCGAGCCCCCUCCCCGGUGCCGUGGGGACCCUCGGCCACCCUCGGAGGGUCCGGUUUGUUUGUUAUUUUUUUGGUUUUUUUUUGUUUUUCUGUUUUCCUCCCCGUUUGCUCGCUUGCUGGGGGUGUUUUUCUCGCCGGAUGACGCCGAUGGGUGUUUCGGAGAGCUGGCCGCACGGAGACUUUGGCAGCUUCGCCGUGGGUCUCGGAGACGCAGCCGGUGCCCAGUAAGUGCCACGUGCGCCCCGCCGGUGCUUGUCCCCCGAUGGCCGCAGCACCGUUCGGGCUGCCAGCACCCAUGGGUGCUGCCGGUGGUGUCCCGUGGCCGAGCACCAACCCAGAGGCCUCGGCUGCCCCAGGGUCUGUGGGUGGCUGGAGCACGGGGUGCUUGGUGCUGGUCCCCAGGGUGCGGGGUGCUGGAGGACAGGGUGGAUGGGUGCUGGAGACGGGGGGGGGGGGGUGUCAGGUGGGUGCUGGACCCGGUGAGCAGGACCCCAGACCCCUGGGUACGUGGGUGCUGGAUGGGGGAUUUGUGGGACCCCAAACGGCUGGGCAUGUGGGUGUCAGAUUUGGAGUGUGCAGGACCUCAGGCCCCUGGGCAGCUGGGUGCCAGGUGGAGGGGGGAGGGGGUUACAGGACCCCAGACCCCUGGGCAGGUGGGUGCCAGAUUUGGGGCGUGCAGGACCCCAGACCCCUGGGCAGGUGGGUGCCAGAUUUGGGGUGUGGGAGACCCCUGGCCCCUGGGCGUGUGGAUGCCAGAUUUGGGGCAUGCAGGACCCCAAACCCCUUGGCAUGGGGGUGCUGGAUAUGGGUUUGUGGGACCCCAGACCCCUGGGAAUAUGGGUGCCAGAUUUGGGGCAUGCAGAACCCCAAACCCCUUGGCAUGGGGGUGCUGGAUAUGGGCAUGUGGGUGCCAGAUUUGGGGUGUGGGAGACCCCAGACUCCUGGGCAUGUGGGUGCCAGAUUUGGGGCGUGCAGGACCCGAGACCCCUGGGCAGGCGGGUGCC